rnacentral:lncRNA from 1 species
UUUUUUUUUUUUGUCUUUUUGCCUUUUCCAGGGCCACUCCCACAGCAUAUGGAGGUUCCCAGGCUAGGGGUCUAAUCGGAGCUCUAGCCACCGGCCUACGCCAGAGCCACAGCUUCGACCUACACCACAGCUCACGGCAACGCCGAAUCCUUAACCCACUGAGCAAGGCCAGGGAUUGAACCUGCAACCUAAUGGUUCCUAGUUGGAUUCAUUAACCACCGCGCCACAAUGGGAACUCCUAGAAACGAUUUCUAUUUGCCAGAAGCAGGGGUUAGGAGAUGGGCAAAAUGGGUAAAAUACGUCCGAGGGUACAAAUUUCCAGUUAAAAAAUAAGUCCUGGGGUGUAAUGUAUGGCAUGAUGACAGUGGUUUCUACGAAACCCUUCUCUUUUUCAAUUAUUGAUACUUUUUAAGUAAAAAUAAUUCAUAUCUAUUAUUAAGGAUCUAUGUCAUUCUGCUCUUAUAUUCUUUCUAGCAAGUAAAUUUGGUGAUAUUAUCCUCCUGCCCUCAUCUCUCAUCCUAAGUCCAAACUGAUACAUAGGUGACAUAAAUUCUUCAUAAAAGUCAUAUGGUACCACUCUGCAUUCUGAUUCAAAAUAAGCAUAUACUUUCAACAUUAAGUAUCUUUUCAAUGCUUUGUUUGAGUUCAAUAAAAAAGUUAUUACAUCUUUUUAUUCAGUAUAUGCCAUACUUAAAAGUUUCUUUAUAAACUGCUUUUCAAACACAUAUCACCUAUUAUUAUGAAAAUGCCUUAUCUUUUCUUAGUUGUAAAAUUUCACAAAUAAAAUGAGGUGAAACUUUGCCCCAAAUUAUUUCCAUUUUAUUUCUUAUUCUACACCUAAGUAGACAUGGAAUAUUUUGAUCCUACAAUUUCAAGUGAAACUUCUCUUAACUGUGUAUGAAGGUUUAUCUCAAUCGUAGUCAUAGGAAAAUGAAUCCUACUGGCUAAGGUAAGAGUUAAAUACUAGUUUAUAUGUUGAGAGUUUUCAUAACUGAGGAUCUGCAAUAGUAAGACUUAUGUAAUGAAGAUAUACAGAUAACUGCACAGGUUAGACAUUGCUGCUUGAGGACAUCCAGUAGUAUGGUUAAUAACGAACUACGCCUGGUUGUGUUAGUCUGACAUUCAGGCCUUUUCCCUGUGUCACUGUCUGGUCAGUUUUCUCUCCAGAUAUCCCUUUGGUUCUCACCCUCCCCUCCUUGGGUCUCCAAUUGAAUGGCACUUUAUCAAAGAUAGUGUCCCUGAUUAUUCUCACUUCCACAUUGUAUCCCCUUUCUUAUUUUAACCAAAACCCCUAUCACCAUCUGAUAUAGCACAUAAUUUAUGUGUCUAUUAUUUUGUACCUGUAAUGACCUAUUCCCUAGUAUCCAUUUGCCGUCACUAGAAUACAAAGUGCACAAGAGACGGUCUUUGACACUAUUUUGCUCACGAGCAUCCUAGAGUCUAGCACGUAGUGGACACCUUAGGAAUAACUGUUAAGUGUAUUUAAUCAAUGAGCCCCCUUGAAGUUGUAGCACUAGGCCUGCUUUUAAUCCAUAGGUAAUCAUUGGCAAAAAUUGUGUUAUGUUAAGAUGUCUCAGCCAGACUAAAUCUGCAAGAAGCAGGUUUUUAAAGCCUAAAAGAGAUUCGGAAAAGAAAGGAUGGAAGGGAAGAAACAGCAUCUGGACACCCUUCCCAGACAGAUGAAUGAAAUCUGAGCCUCAGAAUGACAGAAGAACACAAAGUAGACUCAGGGCCUGAGAACUUAGGACUGAGAUUGUACAGAGGGUCAACUGGUUAUCUAUCUAUCUAUCUGUCUAUCUACCCACCUACCUACCUACCUAAUACUCACCUAGCUACCUAUCCAUGUACUAGCAUCCAUAUACUUAGAAAUAAAGAAGAGGGGGAUGGAGUGGGUACCUGUAGCCCCCCUCUUAAAGGAAAAAGAGAAAGAAUGGAUGUGGCAAAUGCCAAGCAGAUGUCUGGCACACAAAGACAACAAUAUUUUGCAGUAUCUGAUGAGAAACCUACUAGAAUCUUCCAGAAAUAAGUGGUAGUGGAAAAUAUUAAAGCACUAUAAAGGUCUGUCUGAGACAUGAAUGUGAUAUCAUAUUGACAAUUGGGGUAUUUUAACUUACAGGCUGAUGAGGAUCAGGGUAAUAUGGGAUAUACAAGCAAUCACAGAGAAACAACUGGAACAAGAGUGAAAAUCACUUGCGGUUAUAUAUUAGCCACUUCAGAUUAUUAACCCCUCAUAUAUAUUAAGAUGGAUACAAAGAAUUUUCAUUUCACCAGAUAUUUAAUGAACAUUUGAUAUAAGCCAGGUAGUAUAUUAUGCAUCAGGCACAUGAAGGUGAAUAAAAACAAAUAUCUGCCCUUGACAAAUUUAGGGUCUCGCUGGUGUUGGAAAUAAUAAACAAACACUCCAAUGUAGCAAGUUCUACAGGAGAGAUAAAUGAAGUCUCUUCAAUACAUAGAUGAGGAUGCAUACAUCAUAAAUAUACCAAUAUUGGUUAAUAGUUUUAGUUUAUACACCAACGGGGGAAAAAGAACUUUUACCCUUAGAUAAAGAACUGGCCUGGCAAUAAAUUAUUAAAUAUAAUUCAUUAAUUCAUGAAAUAUGGCCACUCAUUAAUGGCUUUGUCACAGCUCCUAAACUAAUGAAAUCCACUUACUAAUUCAUUUCUAAACGUAGUUUCCACAUGGCACCAGCAGAAAUGUACAGUAGAUUUCUACAGCAUGGUGUGCCUGAAUUAAUUGGACUUUCACUCGAUAUUUAUAAGAUCAAGCAAACAUUGAUGUUAGGUGGAGGAACUUUGUAAAAUUCAACAAUAAUAUCAAAUUUAAAAAAAAAUCAAUUUGAAAAUGGCUUGUUUAGCUACCACUAACACUAGACAAAAAAGAUAUCCAGGUGCAAGCAGAGGCCAGAAGAAUCAACCACUCUGCUCUACUCUAGCAACUGAGGCAUUUGUAAGAGUUUUCUUCCUAAUCGCAAUAAUUCGGAGGAUCAUGUCACAAUGCCUGGACUCUGUACCUCUACAACCACAGCGAUGCAAGGUCUGGUUAUAAGAAAGUCCUCAGUUUUUAUUAUUUUUUGUUAAUAAAUAUUCUUUAUGACAACUAAAUCCUUCUGAUGGAACAAGACAGGUAUAAAUGAUGUUCAGCUUCUGUGAAAGUACCAAGUGGGAUGUCAAGGCCUCUCCAAGGAGAGAAAACUCAAAAAGCCUCUGACUGAGAUAAGAAUUAUCAAACCCUUAUCAUCUCACCCAUCUCAUUGUAACUAUUACAUACUUCCUGCCCCUGCACCCCCUACUCCACCCCCAGCAACCUGGCCUAUGCCUUCCCGCCCCUACUAGGAAAGGUAUAUGGCUUACUCCUUAAUGCAUCCCUGUAAGGGUGAUAUAUGCCCCUAACCAAGCAGCAAAGAUGGUAUCAGAAAACCCCCUUUUUCCCCAACCAGUCAGCAGGCCAUAUAGGUGUAUGAUAAGACUACUCCUCUCUCCUUGUCUCUGGGAUAUAAGAACAGACAUGACCAUGUGCCCAGGUCAGCCCUCUCUAAUCAGCAAGAAGGUGUCCUGCUGGGUUAACAGCAUUUCUUGCCUCAACAAACUUGUCUUUUCUUCACCCUGCUCUGAGUCUGGAAAAUUAUUUUUUGAACCUGUACAUGGACCACAACAUACCAGAGGAAAAAGCAAAAGCAAAAUAAUCUACAGAAAAAGUAGUGAAGGAAGUAAAGGAGCUAAAGAAACCUGAAAUUUCUGACUAUUAAUUCAAAGAAUUUAUGGUGGUCAAGGCUGCUUCAAGUCAUAGAUUUGAGCCAUUGACGGGGAGUAUAUUAGAGCAAGGGCUAUUCUUUCCUCAGAACUUUGCUAAGCUUUAUGUUUCCUUCCUGACAAUUGAUCAUUUAACUUCUCAAGGAGCUACCUUCCUAUAUCCUAGUUAUAGUACAGUCUCUUACUGUCAACAUUUCCUUUUUCAGUGACUCUGUAAAAAAAAACCCACUUGGUUACUUUUCUACCCCUGGAUGGACUGAAAGAGAAGUUGCUAAUGGGGGACGUUUCUGUCGUGGCUCAGUUGGUUGAACACAACAUAUUGUCCAUGAGGAUGUGGGUUCGACCCCUAGCCUCCUCUGGUGGGUUAAGGAUCCAAUGUUGCCACAAGGUGUGGC